rnacentral:rRNA from 3 species
UCAAGUUAUUAAGGGUGCAGGGCGGAUGCCUUGGCACUAGGAGCCGAUGAAGGACGUGAUAAGCUGCGAUAAGCUUCGGGGAGUUGCACGUAAACUUUGAUCCGAAGAUUUCCGAAUGAGGAAACUCACUUAGAGUAAUGUCUAAGUAUCAUUAAGUGAAUACAUAGCUUAAUGAGGGGAACUCAGGGAACUGAAACAUCUAAGUACCUGAAGGAAGAGAAAGAAAUUCGAUUCCGUAAGUAGCGGCGAGCGAACGCGGAUUAGCCCAAACCAAUAAAGUUUUCUUUAUUGGGGUUGCGGACAUAUCAUAACGAAGAGGUAUCGUAAUUGAAGAGGUUUGGAAAGACCCACCACAGAAGGUAAUAGUCCUGUAUGUUAAACGAGAAGACUUUAGAUAUGAUCCAGAGUACCACGGGACACGUGAAACCCUGUGGGAAGCAGGAGGGACCACCCUCCAAGGCUAAAUACUACCUAGUGACCGAUAGCGUAUAGUACCGUGAGGGAAAGGUGAAAAGAACCCCGGGAGGGGAGUGAAAUAGAACCUGAAACCCUGCACUUACAAGCUGUGGAAGCACAUUUCUUGUGUGACCGCGUACUUUUUGUAGAACGGGCCAACGAGUUACGUUAAGUAGCAAGGUUAAGCACUUAAGGUGUGGAGCCGUAGCGAAAGCGAGUUUUAACUGAGCGUUCAGUUACUUGACGUAGACCCGAAACCGGGCGACCUACCCAUGAGCAGGAUGAAGCGAAAGUAAAAUUUCGUGGAGGUCCGAACCCACGAGCGUUGAAAAGCUCGGGGAUGACUUGUGGGUAGCGGUGAAAUUCCAAUCGAGCCCGGAGAUAGCUGGUUCUCCCCGAAAUAGCUUUAGGGCUAGCCUCAAGGUGAGAGAUACGGAGGUAGAGCACUGAAUGUCCUAGGGGGUAUUGCACCUACCGAAGACUAUCAAACUCCGAAUGCCGUCAUCUUAUACUUGGGAGUCAGACUGUGGGUGAUAAGAUUCAUAGUCGAAAGGGCAACAGCCCAGAUCGUCAGCUAAGGUCCCUAAAUGUAAGUUAAGUGGUAAAGGAUGUGGGAUUGCACAGACAACCAGGAUGUUGGCUUAGAAGCAGCCACUCAUUCAAAGAGUGCGUAAUAGCUCACUGGUCGAGUGAUCCUGCGCCGAAGAUUUCCGGGGCUAAAACUUACUACCGAAGCUACGGCAUCAGUAAUGAUGGGUAGGGGAGCUUCCCAUACGGGUUGAAGCAUGACCGUAAGGACAUGUGGACAGUAUGGGAGUGAGAAUGUUGGCAUGAGUAGCGAGAUGUGGGUGAGAAUCCCACAGGCCGUAAACCCAAGGUUUCCAGGGGAAGGUUCGUCCGCCCUGGGUUAGUCGGGACCUAAGCUGAGGCCGAAAGGCGUAGGUGAUGGACAACAGGUUGAUAUUCCUGUACUACCGAUAACCGUUUGAGAGAAGGGAUGACACAGUAGGAUAAGCUAAGCACACUGUUGGUUAUGUGUGCCCAAGCAUUGAGGCAGUCAAAGUAGGCAAAUCCGCUUUGAUAAUGCUGGGAUGUGAUGGGGAGCGAAAUUUAGUAGCGAAGUAGCUGAUUUCACACUGUCAAGAAAAGUCUCUAUCGAGGUUAAAGGUACCCGUACCGCAAACCGACACAGGUGGGUGAGGAGAGUAUCCUAAGGCCAGCGAGAGAACUGUUGUUAAGGAACUCGGCAAAAUGACCCCGUAACUUAGGGAUAAGGGGUGCCACCAUCAGGUGGCCGCAGAGAAUAGGCCCAAGCGACUGUUUACCAAAAACAUAGGUUUCUGCUAAGUCGCAAGACGAUGUAUAGGAGCUGACGCCUGCCCGGUGCUGGAAGGUUAAGGGGAUCUGUUAGAGCAAUCGAAGCAGUGAACUUAAGCCCCAGUAAACGGCGGCCGUAACUAUAACGGUCCUAAGGUAGCGAAAUUCCUUGUCGGGUAAGUUCCGACCCGCACGAAAGGCGUAACGAUUUGGGCACUGUCUCAACAACAGACUCGGUGAAAUUGUAAUUCCGGUGAAGAUGCCGGAUACCUGCGACAGGACGGAAAGACCCCAUGGAGCUUUACUGUAGCUUGACAUUGGGUCUUGGUACUACAUGUACAGGAUAGGUGGGAGGCUUUGAAACCAGGACGCCAGUUUUGGCGGAGCCAUCCUUGGGAUACCACCCUUGUAGUACUGGGACUCUAACCAUAGGCCAUGAAUCUGGUCUUGGGACACUGUCAGGUGGGCAGUUUGACUGGGGCGGUCGCCUCCCAAAAGGUAACGGAGGCGCUCAAAGGUUCUCUCAGUACGGUCGGAAAUCGUACGUAGAGUGUAAAGGCAAAAGAGAGCUUGAUUGCAAGACAUACAGGUCGAGCAAGGAUGAAAAUCGGACUUAGUGAUCCGGUGGUUCUGCGUGGAAGGGCCAUCGCUCAACGGAUAAAAGCUACCCUGGGGAUAACAGGCUUAUCUCCCCCAAGAGUCCACAUCGACGGGGAGGUUUGGCACCUCGAUGUCGGCUCAUCACAUCCUGGGGCUGUAGUAGGUCCCAAGGGUUGGGCUGUUCGCCCAUUAAAGUGGUACGCGAGCUGGGUUCAGAACGUCGUGAGACAGUUCGGUCCCUAUCCGUCGCAGGCGUAGGAAAUUUGAGAAGACCUGUCCUUAGUACGAGAGGACCGGGAUGGACGUACCUCUGGUGUACCAGUUGUCCUGCCAAGGGCAUGGCUGGGUAGCUAUGUACGGAAUGGAUAAGCGCUGAAAGCAUCUAAGCGCGAAGCCAACUUCAAGAUAAGAUUUCCCACCGCAAGGGUAAGACCCCAGAAAGACUAUCUGGUUGAUAGGUCGAAGGUGUAAGUGCAGCAAUGUAUUUAGCUUAUCGAUACUAAUAGGUCGAGGACUUGACCAA